GAUGAACGCUGGCGGCGUGCCUAAUACAUGCAAGUCGAGCGAACGGACGAGAAGCUUGCUUCUCUGAUGUUAGCGGCGGACGGGUGAGUAACACGUGGAUAACCUACCUAUAAGACUGGGAUAACUUCGGGAAACCGGAGCUAAUACCGGAUAAUAUUUUGAACCGCAUGGUUCAAAAGUGAAAGACGGUCUUGCUGUCACUUAUAGAUGGGUCCGCGCUGCAUUAGCUAGUUGGUAAGGUAACGGCUUACCAAGGCAACGAUGCAUAGCCGACCUGAGAGGGUGAUCGGCCACACUAGAACUGAGACACGGUCCAGACUCCUACGGGAGGCAGCAGUAGGGAAUCUUCCGCAAUGGGCGAAAGCCUGACGGAGCAACGCCGCGUGAGUGAUGAAGGUCUUCGGAUCGUAAAACUCUGUUAUUAGGGAAGAACAUAUGUGUAAGUAACUGUGCACAUCUUGACGGUACCUAAUCAGAAAGCCACGGCUAACUACGUG
rnacentral:rRNA from 1 species